UGCCCAGCAACUCCUAUCCUUACCUCCUCGCAGUGCUGACCGGGGUACGAGUAGCCUUAGGGAAGAUAGGGUAACCAACCCCGGUGGGAACUCUGGUCUUAUGCUGACAAAGAAGG
rnacentral:ribozyme from 1 species